AUACGUAGGGGACAAGCGUUAUCCGGAUUUACUGGGUGUAAAGGGAGCGUAGGCGGCCAGCCAAGUCAGAAGUGAAAUCCCACGGCUCAACUGUGGGCGUGCUUUUGAAACUGGAGGGCUUGAGUACUGGAGGGGCAAGCGGAAUUCCUGGUGUAGCGGUGAAAUGCAUAGAUAUCAGGAAGAACACCGGAGGCGAAGGCGGCUUGCUGGACAGAGACUGACGCUGAGGCUCGAAGGCGUGGGGAGCAAACAGGAUUAGAUACCCUGGUAGUCCACGCGGUAAACGAUGAAUGCUAGGUAUUGGGCUCCAUAGGGGUUCGGUGCCGCAGUUAACGCAAUAAGCAUUCCACCUGGGGAGUACGUUCGCAAGAAUGAAACUCAAAGGAAUUGACGGGG
rnacentral:rRNA from 1 species